rnacentral:tRNA from 1 species
GAGGGUAUAGCUCAAGCGGUAGAGUGCAUGCUUAGCAUGCAUGAGGUCCUGGGUUCAAUCCCCAGGACCUCCC